ensembl:ncRNA asRNA:CR46479 antisense RNA:CR46479
AUAUGGCCUACUAAGUUCAAGUUCAAAGAUAGUUUCGGGUGUUGCUCAACUGCACUUGCACUCCGUAAUUGAAGUCAAGGUCGAAGGUCAAUUGUCGGGGUGCGCACUUAACCUAUUAACGCGAUUAUCAUUGGGUCACACAGCGGUAAAAAAAAGUGUAAAACUUGCGCUGCGCUCAACUAGGGCAUGAAAAAUUCCAUAAAACCUGACGGCUUAAUUGGUGUGACUCAAAAUGGGCAAUUCAAACUGGCGCCUAGAAUAAAUGUUUUUUAAUUAAAAAAAAUAUUACCAUUUAAUAGCACCUAAUGGAAAAAUUUAUUUUCUAUUUAACCAUCAUCAUUCUAUUAAAUCCAACCGCAAAUUGAGCUACUCCUUGAGAAACUGGUCGAUGGGAACUAGUUCGAAUGCCUCGUUGAACAUUCGCAACAUAAGGGGUUGCCAAAACUGUCGAGUCUCAGGCAACAUUAUUCCGUAAAUAUCGCGCCAAUACUGAUUAGCCACAUUCAGAGCGAUUUUAUCUGUAACGAAAAAUAAUCACAAGCGUUAGAAUGUGCAUUAAGUACACAGAAAACACUUCAUAUAAACUGGUUUGCCUUUAGUUUAAUGGAUUUGA